rnacentral:sRNA from 1 species
AUAUAAAUAUCCUGUGUAAAUAUCCUGUGUUGAAUGGACAUUCGACGACCUGACCUGUAUGAGCAAGUAAGGCAUUCGCCUAGAUUGCGAAUACGGGCAACGAUGUCAAGCGUGCAUAGCACGAAGACAUCGUUUUUUAUAU